rnacentral:sRNA from 1 species
CAAAAGAAAUAAUUUCAAGUCUUAAUAGCAUAUAUUAUUGUUAGCAUUUAUUUUCCUUAAAUUCUUACCUUGGACACUAAGUUUGGCAUCAAUAUGGUGAUCUCCUGGGAGCGGGGGACCACCAGGUUGCCUAAGGCGGGCUGAACUGGCCCAGAUUGGAAACAGAGCAGGUCAAAACUCCCAUGCUGAUCAGUAGUGGGAUCGCGCCUCGGAAGCAGAGCAGGCCAAAACUCCUGU